AUAAAUUAAAUUCCUUUUUUUUUAUUCAAUAACGUACAUAAAAAAAAUACAAGCACAACAUACAUUUUUUUUUUUUUUUUUUUUAUUAUCACUCUCUUUCUUUUCUUUUUUCUUUUUUUUUUACAUCCACAUUUACAUAAUGCAAAAUAAAAAAUUCAAAACCAAAUAAAAAAACAAUACAUCAAAUAAAUUUUAAAUUACAAAACAGCCCCUAAACAAUCUAGAAACCACUUCUGCACCUCCGGAACAGUGUCAGUCGGAUUUCUAGGCGCAUGAACACCGGCGGCGCGUGGAUCUCACGCACCACCGCCACUGGUGGCGCGUGGAUCCACGCGCCACCACCAAAAAAAAUCCAGCAGCAGGGGGUUCUGGAUCGCUUUCUUCCCCUCUUCAAUCUCCUGCUGCCCGUGAGAAAACUCACCACCUGCAAAUCCAAGAAACUCAAAUGAUAGUUGAUUUUAAUUAAAAAAAUUUUAGAUCUGCUUCUCUUCUUCUUCAAAUCUGCUUCGGAUUUUGCUUCUUCUUGUCCGAUCUGUUCUUGCUUCUUCUUUCUGUUUCAGGCGACGGUGGAGUGGUGGGUGUCGCCGCUGCAAGGCUGAUCGGACGAAGAUGAAGAAGACAUCGGGGUUGCUGCUGGAGGCCGAUCUGCGCCGAUGAAGGAAGCUUUGCUGCGGGCUGGAAGGAGACUUUGCUGCUGUUGUCGUCUGCUCAGCUGACUUCGUUGUGGGGAAGAGAGCAGCUGUUGGUCAGGGAGGCUGAGAGAUCGGUGGCGGCGGCUGCGGUGAGAGGAGAAAGCUCCCUCCUGUCCGGCGUGUGGUUGAGAGCUUGCAGUAAGGGAGAGAGUGUCCGGCCGGCCAAUCGGUUGAGGUAGAAAAAAAAUGGGAGAUGGAGGCCUUGCGGCUGCUGGAAAUACCGAUUGAAGAAGAAAAAGCAAAGCUGAGGGAGGCAGCGUUUUCUUCAAAAGAAAGGGGAAGCUGGCCGGUUCUUUUUUUUAUUAUUUCUUGUGGGUGAGGGGUGAGUUGAAGAUGAGAGUGUGCUGGUUUCCCUUUGGAUCUGGGGUGAACGGCUGGACAAAAAAAAAAUAAAUUCAGGGUGGGGGGCGGCUGGUAGCCUCUUCGUGAGGGAGAGUUGGCUUUUUGCAGGUGAGGGACUCCGUGGGUCUCUGCCCCUGCUCUCGGGACCCCUCAAAAAAUCAAAUCCCCCCUCCUCUGGUGUCCAGAAUCUGAUGAGAAGAAAUAGGGGUUCUCCUCACCUCCAUUGUCGGUUGGAAAC
rnacentral:lncRNA from 1 species